UACGUAGGGUGCGAGCGUUAAUCGGAAUUACUGGGCGUAAAGCGUGCGCAGGCGGUUCGUCGUGUCGGUGGUGAAAUCCCCGGGCUUAACCUGGGAAUGGCCAUGGAAACUGGCGAACUGGAGUGCGGCAGAGGGGGGUGGAAUUCCGCGUGUAGCAGUGAAAUGCGUAGAGAUGCGGAGGAACACCGAUGGCGAAGGCAGCCCCCUGGGCUAGCACUGACGCUCAGGCACGAAAGCGUGGGGAGCGAACAGG
rnacentral:rRNA from 1 species